CCUACGGGAGGCAGCAGUGGGGAAUAUUGCACAAUGGGGGAAACCCUGAUGCAGCGACGCCGCGUGAGUGAAGAAGUAUUUCGGUACGUAAAGCUCUAUCAGCAGGGAAGAAAAUGACGGUACCUGACUAAGAAGCCACGGCUAACUACGUGCCAGCAGCCGCGGUAAUACGUAGGGGGCAAGCGUUAUCCGGAUUUACUGGGUGUAAAGGGAGCGUAGGCGGCAGCGCAAGUCUGGAGUGAAAUCCCAUGGCUUAACCAUGGAACUGCUUUGGAAACUGUGCAGCUAGAGUGCAGGAGAGGUAAGCGGAAUUCCUAGUGUAGCGGUGAAAUGCGUAGAUAUUAGGAGGAACAUCAGUGGCGAAGGCGGCUUACUGGACUGUAACUGACGUUGAGGCUCGAAAGCGUGGGGAGCAAACAGGAUUAGAUACCCCUGUAGUC
rnacentral:rRNA from 1 species